AAGUCGGCCAAAAAAAAAAAAAAAGACAAGAAGGGCUGGAGGAAGAUCUCUGUCAAAAACGACAAAGAUUUCUGAGGACAAAGAUUUGGUGGACGAAGCAAGGAAAUUGCAAACUUGCUAAAAUUUGUAAACCAAAUAUACGCUUCACUCUAUCGUGCUCUCUCUUCAGUCUUCACUCACUCUAAAUGGCGAAAGUGGGUAGGAUCAAGCUCGGGUCACAAGGCUUGGAAGUCUCCGCCCAGGGUCUGGGGUGCAUGGGCAUGUCCGCUUUCUACGGGGCUCCGAAACCCGAACCCGACAAGAUCGCUCUCAUCCACCAUGCCGUCCAAAGCGGUGUCACAUUUCUCGACGCUUCCGACGUCUACGGCCCACACACCAACGAAAUCCUUCUCGGAAAGGCAUUGAAAGGAGGUGUGAGAGAGAAGGUUGAAUUGGCCACCAAAUUUGGAAUCAGCGUUGAGGACGGGAAGAGAGAGAUCCGUGGGGAUCCUGCAUAUGUGAGAGCGGCUUGUGAGGCGAGCUUGAAGAGACUGGACGUCGAUUGUAUUGAUCUCUACUAUCAGCACCGUGUUGAUACUCCUGUGCCUAUUGAAGUCACGGUUGGGGAACUUAAAAAACUUGUUGAGGAAGGAAAAAUAAAAUACAUUGGAUUGUCUGAGGCCUCAGCUUCAACAAUUAGAAGAGCACAUGCUGUUCAUCCUAUAACAGCCGUGCAAUUGGAGUGGUCCUUAUGGUCAAGAGAUGUGGAGGAAGAAAUUGUUCCCACCUGCAGGGAGCUUGGCAUUGGAAUUGUUCCCUAUAGUCCUCUUGGACGAGGAUUCUUUGCAUCAGGAACAAAGUCAACUGAGAACCUGACACAGGGUGACUUGAAGUAUUUGCCUAGAUUCCAGCCUGAAAACAUGGAGCACAAUAAAACUAUAUUUGAGAAAGUUAAUGAAAUGGCUGCAAGAAAGGGAUGCUCUCCAUCCCAGCUAGCAUUGGCCUGGGUUCACCAUCAGGGAAAUGAUGUGUGCCCCAUACCUGGAACCACCAAAAUGGAGAACUUCAAUCAAAAUAUUGGGGCUUUGUCAAUCAAGCUGACACCAGAAGAAAUGGCACAGCUGGAGUCUUUUGCUGCUGCUGAUGCUGUCAAAGGUGAUAGAUAUGGGCCUGGAAUAGUUACGUGGCAGAUCUCUGAGACUCCCUUACUUUCCUCUUGGAAUGCUCCAUAAGGAAGUACAUAUGCUAUGCUUAAUUACUGCGAACUUGAACAAACUGUUCUGUCCGAGGUUACUGUUAUUUAGUUUAAAUGGGAGCUGGGCAGCACCAUUGAGUGCAUGCUAGAGCACAAGAGCUUCUGGGAAAUGGAUUAAUGGCAAUUAUGACACUGGCUGUUCUUAAUAAAUUCUCUUCUUGGGUCAAAUGGGGACCUGACGAUAUGUCAUGUGAAAGCAAGAGAAUGAAUUAUCAAAUUCCAUGGGAAGGAAAAAGGGUCUGUAUUGUUGGGAAAGCAAAGAGAAAAAAGGGUGAGGAAGAGAACUAGUUCAUGUAUAAGAACAAAAGAUUCAGUGAAACUU